rnacentral:rRNA from 1 species
AAAAAACCUAAGGUUUCCUGAGCUAGGUCAAUCCGCUCAGGGUUAGUCGGGCCUAAGGCCAGGCCGAAAGGCGUAGCCGAUGGGAAACGGGUCAACAUUCCCGUACCGUCAUGUAACGAUAAAGACCGAUGGGGUGACGCAGAAGGGCAGAUCAGCCUACGAUUGGUUGUGUAGGUUCAAGGAUGUACGAAGGCUUCGUUGGCAAAUCCGUGAAGCUUUUUCCGAGAUCCGAUGUCAAGAGCUUCGGCUCAUAAAGUGAUCGAUCCCACGCUGCCAAGAAAAGCCUCUAAGGAGUUGCAGGGCGACCGUACCGCAAACCGACACAGGUAGGUGAGGAGAGAAUCCUAAGGCGCUAGUGAGAAUUCUCGUUUAGGAACUAGGCACAUUAACCCCAUAACUUCGGGAGAAGGGGUGCCUCUUUGGGUCAGGAGACUUGCUUUCCAAAGCCCAAGGGGGUCGCAGCGAAUCGGCUCAGGCGACUGUUUACUAAAAACACAGGGCUCUGCAAAGUCAUAAAAACGACGUAUAGGGUCUGACGCCUGCCCGGUGCCGGAAGGUUAAAGAGAGGGGUUAGACGCAAGUCGAAGCUCUGAACUGAAGCCCCGGUAAACGGCGGCCGUAACUAUAACGGUCCUAAGGUAGCAAAAUUCCUUGUCGGGUAAGUUCCGACCAGCACGAAUGGCGUAACGAUCUGAGCGCUGUCUCAACGAGGAGCACUGCGAAUCAGUAGUACCGGUGAAGAUGCCGGUUUCCCGCAACUAGACGGAAAGACCCCGUGCACCUUUACUGCACCCUAGCCUUGAACUUGGGUGCGUUCUGCGCAGGAUAGGUGGGAGGCUUUGAACCCGGGAUUUUGGUCUCGGGGGAGCCAACGGUGAGAUACCACCCUUAACGCACUUAGGUUCUAACCUGCUCCCCUAUAUCGGGGAGAGAGACACGGCUAGGCGGGUAGUUUGACUGGGGCGGUCGCCUCCCAAAGAGUAACGGAGGCGCUCGAAGGUUCCCUCAGGCUGUUUGGAAAUCAGCCGGCGAGUGUAAAGGCACAAGGGAGCUUGACUGCGAGACCUACAAGUCAAGCAGGUGCGAAAGCAGGACUUAGUGAUCUGGUGGUUCCGCAUGGAAGGGCCAUCACUUAACGGAUAAAAGGUACGCCGGGGAUAACAGGCUGAUCUGGUCCAAGAGUUCACAUCGACGACCAGGUUUGGCACCUCGAUGUCGGCUCAUCGCAUCCUGGAGCUGUAGAAGGUUCCAAGGGUUGGGCUGUUCGCCCAUUAAAGCGGUACGUGAGCUGGGUUUAGAACGUCGCGAGACAGUUCGGUCCCUAUCUGUUGUGGGCGAAGGAGAUUUGAGGGGAGCUGUCCUUAGUACGAGAGGACCGGGAUGGACGAACCUCUAGUGCACCAGUUGUCACGCCAGUGGCAUCGCUGGGUAGCUACGUUCGGUAGGGAUAAACGCUGAAAGCAUCUAAGCGUGAAGCCCACCCCAAGAUGAGAUCUCCCGCUGGGUAACCUGCCUAAAGACCCCUGGAAGACUACCAGGUUGAUAGGCCCGAGGUAUAAGAGUCGAGCGCAAGCACAGACUUUCAGCUGGCGGGUACUAAUCGGUCGUGAGGCUUGACC